GUUUUACUCGCGGGAUUCGUCAUGCCAUCUCGAUGUGUAGCGAUGAAUUACUCAAAGGAAGAUUCGAGACUCUAGGAGUGGUCCCAAAAAAACUUCUCCUGCAAAGCCACGACAGCUUUGAAAACCUACAACAAUGCAACCUUGGUUUUGCAAAGACGAAGCCAAACAUAAAAAAUUAAGUGGCGGAAACCCUCAACACGAUGAAAAAAGCGUUGCAAGUCAGUUGCCACCCAGUUUCCCAAAAUCAAGAGAGAGUGGGUCGAGUCAUAUGAUGACCGAAGUGAUGUGGUGUCCAGCGAUGACGACUGAAGAGAUCCUAUGAGGCCUGCCAGAUGCUGAAUUUCUUCCGUCUGCGACAUCAGAUGACGAUGAUUUAGGAGAAAUAAAUGUAGCAAAUUUUGAUGACAUGAAAUCAUAAACUAGUCAUAUAUACAGUACACAUUUUUUAAAAGAAAAAUCAAGUUACCUUCAUAUUUUAAUGAUAAUGCAUUAUCUUUGUAUAGAGAACACUUCAUGCUACAGAAAAGAGUAAAUACAUAUACAUAAAUCUGGUAUCAUUUAUUAU